AUCUUAUGAGAUAAAAUGUAUUAAGUGAUUUGAACAUGUAAAUGUGAUUAUAUGUUAAGUGCUAAUUCGAUAAUAGGAAAAUUAGACUAUGCAUGUAUGCAUGUACGUUUUGUGCGGUAGAAAUGGUAAAUUUGCGUUAAAUGUGUGUAACUUGUUUGUCGACCAGGAAAUUUAGUAUAUAUGAGAUGUUUUAUGUAUAUUUGCUUUAAAAAUGACAAAAUAGUUAAGUUAGUAAUGUUUCGCGUGUUUCGGUGUUAGAUUAUAUGAACGUUUAUGUAUAUAUGUUAUGACGCGCAAAUCAUAGAUAUAUUACGUAUAAACAAGAGAGUUAACGAAUUUACACAAUAAUGGUCACCAAUAAAACCGUUCAAAAUUCAAAAUCAUAAAGAUAUCUAUACUACUUUAUAAAGCAUAUAGGAAGGAUAGAAAUGGUCAUUUGCCACUUUACAAGUCUUUGAAGCCCAUUGUACAACCUGUUAAGCACAAAUGUGUUGAAAACUUCUUUUCAACACAUGCUGAUGGAAUUUUGGGCGGCCACUUUUUUGUUCAAAAUUUGAAUCCCCGCUCAUCCACUCUUCCCCAUACAUCCAGUCUUUUCAUUUCACAUCAGUGAUCAGUCUCUUCCUUCCGUUAUCUCCCCCUCUCAAAACCAUCCCAAUUCUCAUUUUUCUGUUAACAUGAACCUUAAAAGCACCCAAUUUCUCGAUGGCAAAUCACCCAAUUUCUUCCCUUCUCUGCUUCCAGAGAUGACUAUGGUGGUGUCACGGAAGAGGUCGAGGCAAGUUCCAACAACCCGAGAUCUAGGGUUUUUCUUUCGAGUUCAUGUCUGAGAUCUCAUGAUUCCACUUGGCUGAGGUAUCUUCUCUGGCGGCGGCAGUGAAUGUGACAACGGUGUACGGGAGCUGCGUGUGUGGAGACUCGAUGAAAAUGGGUGGCUCCGGCAUCAACAGCAGGCAGCGGCUAGGGUUCUGACCAUGACCACCUGAUCCGCUGUAUAAGGAGUUGUGGAAGGCUUGUGCAGGGCUAUUUGUGAAGAUCCGCUGGAAAAACGAACGCUUUUGAUGAGGAUGUUACAUAACCUAGCUUUAUAGUUGAUGAUACAAACUGUGAAACUCAAGAUGAUGACAACACCAACGAAGAUAGCGAGUCAGAUGAUGAUAAUGAUCAUUUCGAUUCUGUUUGUGCGAUAUGUGAUAAUGGUGGCAAGCUUUACAUG